CCCUUAGAGUUUGAUCCUGGCUCAGAAUCAACGCUGGCGGCGUGCCUAACACAUGCAAGUCGAACGGGAAGGAGGGCUUCGGCCCUCCGGAGAGUGGCGCACGGGUGAGUAACACGUGGGUAAUCUGCCUUCGGGUGGGGAAUAACGUCCCGAAAGGGACGCUAAUACCGCAUAACGCAGCGGCACCGCAUGGUGACAGUUGUUAAAGGGGGGGAUCUUCGGACCUCUCGCCUGAAGAGGAGCCCGCGCCCGAUUAGCUCGUUGGUGAGGUAAUGGCUCACCAAGGCAUCGAUCGGUAGCCGGCCUGAGAGGGCGGUCGGCCACACUGGCACUGAGACACGGGCCAGACUCCUACGGGAGGCAGCAGUGGGGAAUUUUGGGCAAUGGGCGAAAGCCUGACCCAGCAACGCCGCGUGAAGGACGAAAUCCCUCCGGGAUGUAAACUUCGAAAGUCAGGAAAGAAAUCCAUAUGGAUAAUACCCAUGUGGGAUGACGGUACCUGACGUAAGCCCCGGCUAACUACGUGCCAGCAGCCGCGGUAAUACGUAGGGGGCAAGCGUUGUUCGGAAUUACUGGGCGUAAAGGGCGCGUAGGCGGCAUGGCAAGUCAGGAGUGAAAGGCCUGGGCUCAACCGAGGAACUGCUUUUGAGACUGCCAAGCUAGAGUGCGGAAGGGGCAACUGGAAUUCCCAGUGUAGCGGUGAAAUGCGUAGAUAUUGGGAAGAACACCGGAGG
rnacentral:rRNA from 1 species